UACGUGGGACCCAAGCGUUAUCCGGAAUUACUGGGCGUAAAGAGUUGCGUAGGUGGCAGAGUAAGUAGGUAGUGAAAUUGUGUGGCUCAACCAUACACCCAUUAUCUAAACUGCUCAGCUAGAGCAUGAGAGAGGUAACUGGAAUUUCUAGUGUAGGAGUGAAAUCCGUAGAUAUUAGAAGGAACACCGAUGGCGUAGGCAGGUUACUGGCUCAUUGCUGACACUAAGGCACGAAAGCGUGGGGAGCGAACUGG
rnacentral:rRNA from 1 species